ACGUGUGUGUUGCUCCAUGUGUCCUCAGACCACGUCGCACUUCCAGGCAGGGGAGGUGGACUCAUUCUUAUCUCAGCAAGCUCCAAGUUGCCUUCUUCCACUCUGCGCUUUACUUCUUGUUCUUGGUACCCUGAGUCCAGGCUUCAAGGUUAGAUCUGCCUCAGAGCCAUGAGCACUCUUUGAAAGAGCAGUUGAGUCCCCUUCAGUCACACCUGAGGCUCAGGAGGAUCUGCCACCAGCCCCAAGCCGGCCUUCCUGCCUCCCUGGUCCGCUCCUUCCCUUUGCAGGGAAUCAAAAUCAGAGGAGUUGCUGACACCUGGUGGUGGCUAAGCAGAGUGUAAGCUCAGUCUUUGAGCACCUCUACCUCUGAUGCCGCUAAACCCUCGGAAUUCUAGAGGCCUCCCCUCGAGCUAAAACUGGGUUUUUUUAAUCCAAAGAGAAUGCAGUUCUGCAAAGGAAGAAGCACUGGGGCCAUCUCCACCAGCCCUGACAAGAUGAGUGCUGGCUUCCUGGAUGAAAAGUCUGAUCCCAGCAGAUCUGAUGAAUCAGGAAAAAUGAGUAACACAGGGGAAUCCCUUUUGGUUUAAAGCCCUUUGCCCGUUGGGAUCAACCAGAAGCUGGUGGAAAUGCAAGAGAUCUCAAGCCUCUGUUCACAAAAGUUCUUAUACUCCAUCUUCAGAGAAAAACGUGGAAUCCUUGCUUUGGAUGAGACAAAGGCAUCCAGCAAUGAGACUCUCAGAGCCUGAAGGCAGAGGACCUUGGAAGAAUGUUCCAAGAACUCAUGGGACUUGGCUUCUGCCCCCAAGGAGCCUACCUGGCGACUCUCCAGCCUCGGUGACUUUUCUCAUUGCUAAGACAAAAUACCCAACACCCCAAGUUAAGGGAGAAAGGGUAUUUAGCUCACAGUCUAUAGACAUUUCAGGCCAUAGUUGUCUGGCUCCAAGGCAGGGUGGCCUGGCAGAGGGCAUCGCAGAGGAGAAAUAGUCCAUGGCAGGGCAGAAGACAGCAAGUGACAGCAGCAGCCCUCUUUCUGUCCCUUAUAUUCUAUCCAGGCUAACUGCCCUUAGGGUGGGUACUACUCAAACCCAGGGUAGGGCAUCUGUAACCCCAGCAUCACACACCCUAAAUGCCAGCAUCACACACCCUAAAUCCAGUCACUCAAAAAACC
rnacentral:lncRNA from 1 species